AGUUGUAACUGACGCUUAUGAUUAAACAAUUCGGGACCCUGAAACAAAAAAAGCCUCGUGUUAAGAUCUACGUUGAUAGAGAGACGGGGAGGAAGAAAGGAGAUGCACCAGUGUCAUACAUUAAGGAACCUUCUUUUGAGCUAGCGAUCAAUAUAUUGGACGGAGCACCUUUCCGCCCUGGUCAUAGGUUUACAGCCAAGCAA